rnacentral:rRNA from 1 species
UACGAAGGGGGCUAGCGUUGUUCGGAAUUACUGGGCGUAAAGCGCACGUAGGCGGAUUUGUAAGUCAGGGGUGAAAUCCCGGGGCUCAACCUCGGAACUGCCUUUGAUACUGCAAGUCUCGAGUCCGAUAGAGGCGAGUGGAAUUCCUAGUGUAGAGGUGAAAUUCGUAGAUAUUAGGAAGAACACCAGUGGCGAAGGCGGCUCACUGGAUCGGUACUGACGCUGAGGUGCGAAAGCGUGGGGAGCAAACAGG